AUGGGAAUCGCACGAGAAGUCCCGGGCAACUGGGAGAGUAAAGUGGUUCCCCCGUGAGUAGCACGUGGGUAAUCUACCCUGAAGUUGGGAAUAACACCUCGAAAGGGGUGCUAAUACCCAAUAACAUCCUCGAGACCCCGGUCUUGAGGAUCAAAGAUGGCUGAGGCUUGCAAGCUAUUGCUUUAGGAUGAGCCCGCGCACCAUUAACUAGUUGGUGGGGUAAUGGCCCACCAAGGCUAUGAUGGUUAGCUGGUCUGAAGGGAUGGCCAGGCACACUGGAACUGAGAUACGGUCCAGACUUCUACUGGAGGCCAGCAUGGGACUCCUACCGGAAGCAACAAUGGGGGGUCUGAAAGAAAGCUGGGGGCGUGCUUAAAACAUGCCAAUCGAAAGGUGACAAUCAAACUUGCUUGGGCUGAAUAAUGGCCAAAAGGUGAGUAACACAUGAAUAACCUGCCCCCGAACCUGGGAUAUCCCCUGGAAACCGGAGCUUAAACCCGAAUAUUAAAGCCCCCGUCCUGGGGAGCCGGAGGAAAAUUUUUUUGGGGUUGAAUAACACCGCGCCCCACCACUUUUUUAGAGGGGGGAAAGCGCUUUCAAAGGGGGGGAAGAGGGAAACCGGCCCUAUAGGGGGGGUAGGGCUCCACUUUGAAUCUCUUAUUCAGCCCCCGAACCCUCACGGGAGCGAAGCAUGUAUUUAUUUCGAACAAACUUUAAGCCACUUCCAGAAAAUAUGCCGCGCACCCU
rnacentral:misc_RNA from 1 species